UGGGGAAUUUUGGACAAUGGGCGAAAGCCUGAUCCAGCAAUGCCGCGUGUGUGAAGAAGGCCUUCGGGUUGUAAAGCACUUUUGUCCGGAAAGAAAUCCUUGGCUCUAAUACAGUCGGGGGAUGACGGUACCGGAAGAAUAAGCACCGGCUAACUACGUGCCAGCAGCCGCGGUAAUACGUAGGGUGCAAGCGUUAAUCGGAAUUACUGGGCGUAAAGCGUGCGCAGGCGGUUUGCUAAGACCGAUGUGAAAUCCCCGGGCUCAACCUGGGAACUGCAUUGGUGACUGGCAGGCUAGAGUAUGGCAGAGGGGGGUUAGAAUUCCACGUGUAGCAGUGAAAUGCGUAGAGAUGUGGAGGAAUACCGAUGGCGAAGGCAGCCCCCUGGGCCAAGUACUGACGCUCAUGCACGAAAGCGUGGGGGAGCAAAGCAGGAUUAAUACCCUGGUAGUCCACGCCCUAAANGAUGUCAACUAGUUGUUGGGGAUUCAUUUCCUUAGUAACGUAGCUAACGCGUGAAGUUGACCGCCUGGGGAGUACGGUCGCAAGAUU
rnacentral:rRNA from 1 species